ACAAAAAAUGAACCGGUUCUAUAUUCUGCUGUUAUUGUGACCGCUACAAACGGUUUGACGUGAAAUUUAUUCAGUUGAAGGACCUGGCACGUGUGAAUUCUUAAGAAACGAUUGGAACAACACUGGUGAUUCGUUCGUUGUCUUUUUCCAGGUGAUUAAUCGAAUUGUUUUCUUUUUUAGGCGUCGCUGAAAAUAAUUGCGAAUUGUUUUUUGCAUGGCAGAUCUGCGAAUUGAUUUUGUUUCCAUUAGCCAACACUCCAACAGCUCCUUCAAAGAUUCUGCCGUUAUCGGCAUCUGGGGAUUGAGUUUGUUUUUUUUCACUUGGCUCUUGAUGAACAAUCGCGGAUGUCUUGCUGGACGUCGGAUUGAUCGGUCGAUCCUAUCGAUCGAUAAGGUAGGUGCACUGGAUUCCUUUUAAUUGAGUUACCCACGUCCGUCUGAUUAAUUUGCGGUGAAGGAAAUUUUCCUGUCGCGCUAAUGACGACAAUCAACAGGCUCCUAUCAUCACGACAUCGGUCUGUGACUGUCCUCGGGUUGAUUGAGUAUCUGAAAUGGACAUUGUUCAACACCGGCCCGAAUUCCGGUUUCAAUGAGACACCUCCGGCGAUCGGCUCCCACUUGAAUCGUAACUUGUAGUGACGGGUGUAUACUGGUCGGUCGGUUCCUCCUAUCCUAAUCCUACCACGACGGAGGCGUCGUGGUAAAAUUUUCUAAAAGAAAAUUUGAGUAAAAUUUGUCCGCAAUUGUCCCUUUCGAAUAUGGAGUGUAUGAAAAUGAUUGUCUAAAUUCAUUUUAUGUAAAGAUGUGGAGCAUUUCGAAAAUAUUUUUGACAAACAUAAAUAGGCAAAAUUUUCAUUUAAUAGUACAGACUCGUAGCACAAUCACUAAAUGUAUCAAGUGAUGCCCACGGCUUGCCCAUCCAUCAUCUAUGAUUAGUGGAGAAAGCGAGAAAGUCAGGAGACGGAUCGCGACUAUCCCGAGACUGAAAAUUUUAAUGAGCUAAUUUUUUUUAGUUUCAUUGAUUAAUUUAUCGGAUUACUAAACAUUUUCGUCGAAUUUCUUACCUGUGAUUUGUUAUACGAAUAUUCAAAUUGUGUUGACUCUCCAGGCCAGGUCUCGAGUUGCUUUUCUAUAUGCAUUUUGCUUUACAGUUUGUAUUAGCCAUUCAUUAUUUCAUCAAUUUCAUUAGUUGUUUUCUGUAUUUCUGAAUCUCCUGUCCUUAUUGCACGGUUUUUGCUUAAUGAUAAUUAAAAAAGAAAAACUUUUAGGGUGUCGGAAGGCCCUUAAUUUCCAUGUAUAACCCUGGGUCGUAGCAAAGUCUGCAGGCAGGCGGAGGCUCCUUGUGGCCCCCUAGCAGCCUAACGCAUGGUUGGCAUGGAUCAUGGGCAUUCCCUGUUUCCACAAAAGAGUUCCUGAUAACCACAACUUCAGCUACCACAAAUCAGCUUUAUGGCCCAAUAAUAAGUGUGGGUGAAAGUGAUGUUAUGGGUGCGAGCAACAUCCUUCAAACAGUAGAUAGAGUUCAGAAAUUGGCAACCGCACUAGGAGCCUCUUGUCAUUCUUCUAUCUUGAUUAAUAUGAUCACUACUGAACGAGUCGUGUUGGUGUCCCAACCAUCUGCUUGAUGAUAUUCAAUCUAAAAUGAAAGAAAAAAGCUCGCAGUGUGGCGUGUUUCAUACAGGAUUUCACCAUCGAAGCUCAUCAGCUGUUGUUCCCUCCAUUCCGGUUCGAGUGAUUUAUUUCGUGUUACAAAGCUACCCGACAUAACGGAUUUUUCUUUCCAGCAAAAAUAAGGUUAGUUCAUUAACUUCAUUGCGUUUGAUUUCCUUAUUAAGAUUUCGCAAGUGGGCGUGUUAUUAGUCCGACUAGUUUUUUCAAGGUGAUCGUUUCUCCCCGUUUUUGUCACGUACCUGUUUCGGUAAACUUUUUUUUUUAACACGAACAAAAAACAAGUUUUUCAGUCAAAGAAUUAUUUGAUUUUAUUUUCUUCCACCAGAGUUCCACCACCGAUUUAAAUAUUUCAAAUUAGCAGCGCACAUUUUUGUUUCUUUUACUGUGAAAUUGUUUCCUCGAUGAGCCAGCCGGAAAAGUCCGAG